rnacentral:lncRNA from 10 species
GGUUCUACCACCUGAGCCGGUCACUGACCCUCCAUGGGCCUCAGCUUACCCUAUGGUAAAGUGAGAACUAGGGGGUCAGACUCCUUGAUCACCAAGAUCUCUGACCACAGCCAAGGCUAAGGGAAGCGCAGGAAAACGUGGGGCUCGUCCAAAUUCCCAGCCUCUCUCUGCCCCCUGGUGGACGCCGGCAGCCUAGCACCCGGGGGGAGAUGACCCCGACACUGUGUGACCUCUGCCAAGGCACCCAUCCCUCUGAGCCCCAGUUCCCACCGGUUACAUAGGAAUGAUUAUAAUACCCACCUCUUUGGGCAAUUGUGAGGAGGCAAGGAGAUAAUACAUGCAAAGUGCUUGGAUGGGAUGGGUACUAGCCACUCAACAGAAGGCAGAUCCUAGAAUGGGGAUGGCAAGUCCUGUCAUCAGUGAAGAAUGUAAUGACUGCAAGCUUAGAUGACAUGUCUGUUACUGGAAACCAGAGUUGUUUACUUAAGCUGUAAAUGAACUCAUAGUCCCUGGGAUAAUUAUCUCACCUCUGGAUAAAUAAACUCAACAGCCUUAUGUAUUUUAUUAAUUUUUCUUAAAAAAAAGCUUAAAAUAUUUUUCCUUUGAUUUGUUCUCUUUCUUUGGUUUCUGACUUUAUUAUGUCCUUUCUUUCUGCUUAGGCAUUUGUUUUAUUGCUCUUUUUUCACCAACUCAAACUGAAUGGUCACCUUAACAGUUUUAUUGAGGUAUAAUUUACACACCAUAAAAUUCACCUGCUUUAAGGAUACUAUUCAAUGAUUUUUAGUACAGUUACAAAGUUAUGCAACCAUCAUCAAAACCCAAUUUUAGAAUAUUUCAAUCACCCAAAAAAGAAAUAUCACACCCAUUUACAGUUUAUCCCCUUUCCUGCCCCCAGCCUUAGGCAACCACUAAUCUACUUUAUAUAUAGAUUUGCCUUUCCUGGACAUUUCACAAAAAUUGAUUUACGCAAUGAAUGAGUAAAACCGUCUUCCAAAGGAAGAGGGCCUCCCAAGGCAGGUGUGGGCAUGGGCUUGCCACAAUAUGUGGCAUUUUGUGCACUUAAUGUUAUUGAGGAUUAAUCUAUGUUGUAACAUGUGGCGGUAUUUUGCUCCUUUUCAUUGGCAUUCUCUUGGGGGCUUGUUUAUUUUUACAUGUAUUGUUUUCCACUAAAUGUACUUAAAUAUAUAAAUUUGUCUGUAAGUGCUGCUAAAACCCAGCUAAGCUGUGCCCCACCAACUUUAAUGUAGUUUUUCCACUAUUCAGAAGUAAAUAUUUCUCACAUUUCUUUAUGACGUCCUUCUCCACCGAAAGUUACCUACUGUAAACUAAAAAUAAAAUCCUAAGUCCCCCACCAACUGAAUGGAUGCCCCCCUUGGCCAAGGGGACACCAGAAAAAACUUAGGAAUGGAGUUCCAGCCAUGGCAGGACAGGAGGUCCCCUUUGUAGUUUAGACACAACAGCUGACCAGCAUUGAUGUUAAAAUAGAGAGCAUAAGACUGACAGAACAGACUUUUGUGGCAAUAAGAUACAAAAUUAUAGGCUGGGCGCGGUGGCUCACGCCUGUAAUCCCAGCACUUU